GGACGUGUGCCUGAACAAAGGACUACUUUGAUAGAGUAGAAAACAGGGGUUAAAAUCUCCUCGCCUCCU
rnacentral:tRNA from 1 species